GUUGUAUAGUCAAGUAAUUAAGUGCAUGUGGUGGAUGCCUUGGCAGUCAGAGGCGAUGAAAGACGUGAUAGCCUGCGAAAAGCUCCGGGGAGGCGGCAAAUAUCCUUUGAUCCGGAGAUGUCUGAAUGGGGGAACCCACCUACUUUAAGGUAGGUAUUGCAACAUGAAUACAUAGUGUUGCAAGGCGAACGAGGGGAAGUGAAACAUCUCAGUACCCUUAGGAAAAGAAAUCAAUUGAGAUUCCCUCAGUAGCGGCGAGCGAACGGGGAUCAGCCCAUUAAGUUAUGUGUGUUUUAGUGGAACGCUCUGGGAAGUGCGAACGUAGAGGGUGAUAUUCCCGUACACGAAAGGGCACACAUAAUGAUGACGAGUAGGGCGAGGCACGUGAAACCUUGUCUGAAUAUGGGGGGACCAUCCUCCAAGGCUAAAUACUCCUGACUGACCGAUAGUGAACCAGUACCGUGAGGGAAAGGCGAAAAGAACCCCUGUGAGGGGAGUGAAAUAGAUCCUGAAACCGCAUGCAUACAAGCAGUGGGAGCACCUUCGUGGUGUGACUGCGUACCUUUUGUAUAAUGGGUCAGCGACUUAUAUUCAGUAGCAAGGUUAACCGUAUAGGGGAGCCGUAGAGAAAUCGAGUCUUAAUAGGGCGUUUAGUUGCUGGGUAUAGACCCGAAACCAGGCGAUCUAUCCAUGAGCAGGUUGAAGGUUGGGUAACACUAACUGGAGGACCGAACCCACUGUCGUUGAAAAGCCAGGGGAUGACUUGUGGAUAGGGGUGAAAGGCUAAUCAAGCCUGGUGAUAGCUGGUUCUCCCCGAAAGCUAUUUAGGUAGCGCCUCGGACGAAUACCAUAGGGGGUAGAGCACUGUUUCGGCUAGGGGGUCAUCCCGACUUACCAAACCGAUGCAAACUCCGAAUACCUAUGAGUACUAUCCGGGAGACAGACUGCGGGUGCUAACGUCCGUAGUCAAGAGGAAAACAAUCCAGACCGCCAGCUAAGGCCCCAAAAUCAUAGUUAAGUGGGAAACGAUGUGGGAAGGCAUAGACAGCUAGGAGGUUGGCUUAGAAGCAGCCACCCUUUAAAGAAAGCGUAAUAGCUCACUAGUCGAGUCGGCCUGCGCGGAAGAUGUAACGGGGCUAAAACUAUGUGCCGAAGCUGCGGAUNNNNNNNNNNNNNNNNNNNNNNNNNNNNNNNNNNNNNNNNNNAUGCUGGAGGUAUCAGAAGUGCGAAUGCUGACGUGAGUAACGACAAAACGGGUGAAAAACCCGUUCGCCGAAAGACCAAGGGUUCCAGUCCAACGUUAAUCGGGGCUGGGUGAGUCGACCCCUAAGGCGAGGCCGAAAGGCGUAGUCGAUGGGAAAAUGGUUAAUAUUCCAUUACUUCUGUGUAAUGCGAUGAGAGGACGGAGAAGGCUAAAUCAGCCUGGCGUUGGUUGUCCAGGUGAAAGGAUGUAGGCAUGUAUCUUAGGCAAAUCCGGGGUACUCUAUGCUGAGAUCUGAUAGCAAGCUGUACUUGUACAGCGAAGUGGUUGAUGCCAUGCUUCCAGGAAAAGUCUCUAAGCUUCAGUUACACAGGAAUCGUACCCGAAACCGACACAGGUGGUCAGGUCGAGUAGACCAAGGCGCUUGAGAGAACUCUGCUGAAGGAACUAGGCAAAAUGGUACCGUAACUUCGGGAGAAGGUACGCUGUUGUUGGUGAUGGAACUCGCUUCCUGAGCUGACGACAGCCGCAGAAACCAGGCCGCUGCAACUGUUUAUUAAAAACAUAGCACUCUGCAAACACGAAAGUGGACGUAUAGGGUGUGAUGCCUGCCCGGUGCUGGAAGGUUAAUUGAUGGGGUUAGCGUAAGCGAAGCUCUUGAUCGAAGCCCCAGUAAACGGCGGCCGUAACUAUAACGGUCCUAAGGUAGCGAAAUUCCUUGUCGGGUAAGUUCCGACCUGCACGAAUGGCAUAAUGAUGGCGGCGCUGUCUCCAGCAGAGGCUCAGUGAAAUCGAAAUCGCUGUGAAGAUGCAGUGUACCCGCGGCUAGACGGAAAGACCCCGUGAACCUUUACUGCAGCUUGACACUGAACUUUGACCUUACUUGUGUAGGAUAGGUGGGAGGCUUUGAAGCUGGAACGCUAGUUCCAGUGGAGCCGUCCUUGAAAUACCACCCUGGUAAUGUUGAGGUUCUAACUCUGUCCCGUGAUCCGGGACGAGGACCGUGUCUGGUGGGUAGUUUGACUGGGGCGGUCUCCUCCUAAAGAGUAACGGAGGAGUACGAAGGUGCGCUCAGCGUGGUCGGAAAUCACGCGUAGAGUAUAAAGGCAAAAGCGCGCUUAACUGCGAGACCCACAAGUCGAGCAGGUACGAAAGUAGGUCUUAGUGAUCCGGUGGUUCUGUAUGGAAGGGCCAUCGCUCAACGGAUAAAAGGUACUCUGGGGAUAACAGGCUGAUACCGCCCAAGAGUUCAUAUCGACGGCGGUGUUUGGCACCUCGAUGUCGGCUCAUCUCAUCCUGGGGCUGAAGCAGGUCCCAAGGGUAUGGCUGUUCGCCAUUUAAAGAGGUACGCGAGCUGGGUUUAGAACGUCGUGAGACAGUUCGGUCCCUAUCUACCGUGGGCGCUGGAAAUUUGAGAGGAUCUGCUCCUAGUACGAGAGGACCAGAGUGGACGAACCUCUGGUGUACCGGUUGUGACGCCAGUCGCAUCGCCGGGUAGCUAUGUUCGGAAGGGAUAACCGCUGAAAGCAUCUAAGCGGGAAGCCUACCUCAAGAUAAGAUUUCCCUAGGACUUUAUGUCCUCUAAAGAGCCGUUCGAGACUAGGACGUUGAUAGGUUGGAUGUGGAAGCAUAGUGAUAUGUGAAGCUGACCAAUACUAAUUGCUCGUGAGGCUUGACUAUACAACACCCAAGCAGUUG
rnacentral:rRNA from 1 species